rnacentral:rRNA from 1 species
AUUGAACGCUGGCGGCAGGCCUAACACAUGCAAGUCGAGCGGAGAUGAGGUGCUUGCACCUUAUCUUAGCGGCGGACGGGUGAGUAAUGCUUAGGAAUCUGCCUAUUAGUGGGGGACAACAUUCCGAAAGGAAUGCUAAUACCGCAUACGUCCUACGGGAGAAAGCAGGGGAUCUUCGGACCUUGCGCUAAUAGAUGAGCCUAAGUCGGAUUAGCUAGUUGGUGGGGUAAAGGCCUACCAAGGCGACGAUCUGUAGCGGGUCUGAGGGGAUGAGCCGCCACACCGGGACUGAGACACGGCCCAGACUCCUACGGGAGGCAGCAGUGGGGAAUAUUGGACAAUGGGGGAAACCCUGAUCCAGCCAUGCCGCGUGUGUGAAGAAGGCCUUAUGGUUGUAAAGCACUUUAAGCGAGGAGGAGGCUACUGAGACUAAUACUCUUGGAUAGUGGACGUUACUCGCAGAAUAAGCACCGGCUAACUCUAUGCCAGCAGCCGCGGUAA